UCUUUGGUACUAUGAUACAUGCUUCUCAUAUAUAUUUGAUUACUUGUCAACUUGAUCAAACCAAAGAUGGUAGUAAUAUCAUUAAUACAGUUAACUAUUUAUCAAGGUUAAAAAUGUCUAUCUGCACAGAAGUUAUACAUGAUCGAAGUUUUAAGGUCAUUAUAAGAAAAUUUCGGCACCAAAUAAGACGCCGAAUGUGGUCAAAGGACAAUGUUUUUCCUGAGUAAGGGUAACACGUUUUCACGUUUGGAACACAGACAAAUUAACAGACAACAAGAGAGAAGUGAAAACAGAUCUUUCCACAAAUGAUGAAAACAGAUAUCUUUUUGUCUUGACAAUCAUGGAUGUGAUCAUCAAAUUUCUGUUUGGUUGCUACGGUAAAAAUUUUUAUGUAUUUUGUUGGUCGACCAAUAUUCAACUGAUAGGGAGCACAAGCGUACACUGUUAAAGUGAGAGCUCAAGCAGAGAUCUAUUACACGAAAAAACCACAAUUGUAUGUAGAUAUACAUGUCAUUGUUUAUAUUUUCACUUAAGAGGAGAGAAUUUAAUAGCGUAUUUACAUAAGAGAGCUCAACGAUCUAUUUAUGAAAUCAUAUUUGCCAGUCCUAGUCUCCUUUAACACUACGGACCUCUCGAAACAUCAAAAACGAGAAGGUCUUCAAGAUGUAGUUUUUCAAAACCAAAUUGAAAUCGAAAGUACCUUUAACGAAUAUUUGUACAUGUACUGUAAUAAAAUGUAUUCAUAACAA